GGAUAUGGCCAGAUCUCUCACAAAAGGCAUAAAACAGACUCCUUUGUUGGACUUAUGGGCAAAAGAUCUUUAAAUUCUGGAUCCUCUGAAAGCAGCGUAGCACAGAAUUACGAACAGAGGCGUAAAUGAGACAUUCCUGUGCACUAUUUAUUAAACUUCAUUUGUUCCAAUGGCCAAUGCAGUGUAAUAUAAACUAACCACUGUACGGAAUAAUUAUUUAUUUAAUAAUAACUGGGGGGGUUUUGUUUCGUUUUUGAGUUGUACAUUCAAUAAAAUUAUUAUUUUUCAUAUUGUGGCAACGAUAAGUGUUGUGUAGGUGCGUUGUGGUUCUGAAAGGACCAGCAACCCUGGUGACGUCUCACAACAAAGCACAUUGUUUGAUAUGACCCGUAAAGUUAUGUUCACUAAACAAAGAAAAUAUUCUUUUGUUCAUUGAAAGUGAGCCUAUCAGCUUCAGAGCCAGUGCAGAACAGAGCUGAUGUACAGUCUAGUGCCUCAAUUUGUUUUCAUGGUUUAUAAUGUACUGUAAUUUCCGUAUCAAAAAAUAUAUUUGUAUCAUUGCAGCAUGUUUAAUGUUUUGUGACUAUGUAUCUAUAUAUUUUUAAAAAGGAGGGUGGGUAAGGUCUGAAUGGGAAUCCAAGGUCUUAAUUUCCUAGUCUGGAAUUUUAUGAUAGUAACAUUUUAAAUAAAAACUACUCUGGGGAUUUUGCAACA